AAUCUUCCACAAUGGACGAAAGUCUGAUGGAGCAACGCCGCGUGAGCGAAGAAGGUUUUCGGAUCGUAAAGCUCUUUUGCGAGGGAAGAACAAGUACGGGAGUAACUGCCCGUACCUUGACGGUACCUCGUCAACAAGCCACGGCUAACUACGUUCCAGCAGCCGCGGUAAUACGUAGGUGGUAAGCGUUGUCCGGAAGUAUUGGGCGUAAAGCGCGCGCAGGCGGUCCUUUAAGUCUGAUGUGAAAGCCCACGGCUCAACCGUGGAGGGUCAUUGGAAACUGGAGGACCUGAGUACAGAAGAGGAAAGCGGAAUUCCACGUGUAGCGGUGAAAUGCGUAGAGAUGUGGAGGAACACCAGUGGCGAAGGCGGCUUUCUGGUCUGUAACUGACGCUGAGGCGCGAAAGCGUGGGGAGCAAACA
rnacentral:rRNA from 1 species